CCUCUUCAAUUGAAACCCUACCCAAUUAGAGAAAAGAUGUUUCACUCACUCUAUUUCCAGUUUUUAGUUGUAAUAGGAAAAAAAAAAGAAACUGGAGCUGAAAAGAGAUUCGAUCUGUUUCGACUCGGUGGAGGAGAUGGCUACUAUUUGAGUGGGUUCAACUUGUAGUGAGGUUACCCGGUGUGAGACAUCUCUGGGUUGACAGAUUCUGGGAAGAAUUUCAAUACAAGGUGGAAUCAACUCGUGGUAGCAUGGGACGGUUACUAAUAGCUCAGUUUGUAUGACUAUUGGAACUAUUGGGAACAACUCGUCCUACUCAUUAUCAUGCUCUAUAUGAUGAACUUAGCUUCUCAGCGGAUGACUUGCAAGACCUUGUUCAUUCUUUAUCAUAUGUGUA